rnacentral:rRNA from 1 species
GACGAACGCUGGCGGCGUGCUUAACACAUGCAAGUCGAACGGUAAGGCCCUUCGGGGUACACGAGUGGCGAACGGGUGAGUAACACGUGGGUGAUCUGCCCUGCACUUCGGGAUAAGCCUGGGAAACUGGGUCUAAUACCGGAUAGGACUCCGGACUGCAUGGUCUGGGGUGGAAAGCUUUUGCGGUGUGGGAUGGGCCCGCGGCCUAUCAGCUUGUUGGUGGGGUGAUGGCCUACCAAGGCGACGACGGGUAGCCGGCCUGAGAGGGUGACCGGCCACACUGGGACUGAGAUACGGCCCAGACUCCGACGGGAGGCAGCAGUGGGGAAUAUUGCACAAUGGGCGCAAGCCUGAUGCAGCGACGCCGCGGGAGGGAUGACGGCCUUCGGGUUGUAAACCUCUUUCAGCAUCGACGAAGCGAAAGUGACGGUAGGUGCAGAAGAAGGACCGGCCAACUACGUGCCAGCCGCCGCGGUAA